rnacentral:precursor_RNA from 1 species
GGGUCCAGGGCUUCCCAUCCCAGCUUGGCCUAUUUGUUGAGAUGAGAGCCCUUGGCCACU